GGGAAUCAAACUCACGACCUCGCGCCUGCCAGGCAAGUGCUGUGCCACUGAGCUAAAUCCCGAGCCCCAAAACUUGCUGAUUUUGUAGGGGGAGAAUUACCGGUGGGGAUGCUUUCCCUUCAUACUAGAGAAAACACAAACACAGAAGUAUGUUGUCAAGAUUAUCAGGCAAAGCAGUUUUGGGAUGAGCUGACCUCAGGUGAGGGGGCAGAAAAAAUAAUAUCUUUGAAACACGGGAUCCAGCUUCACUUGAAAUCACCAUGACUUCUGUAUUUUUAAAUUGUGAGGGCAAAAAAUUCUUACUGUUUACACCAUUUUGAAUAGAGUUUUAGGGCAUAGACAAUUUCAAGGCUGAUAACUGGAGCUCUGAGUUACUUCUCACUUGGUAAAGGGAAUGCAUAUUAAUAUAGUAAAAUAGACAAACUCUGGACUGCUUCUGACUUGUAAUAGGGAGCCCAAGUCCCCAGGUGAGAGCAGUGCUUUGAUGCUGAAUUUGGAACGACGCAGAGCCAUCCAUCCAUCCAUCCAUCAUCACCAAGUUGUGUCAAUCAGAUUCAAAGAACUCAGACAAUGGCCUGCUUCUCUCUAACCUGAGGGACGUUUCCUCCUGUGGACCGCCACCGCCCCUCCCUGGUCAGCCCACACCAGGUUGCUGUGUUCAUCUCGCCUCCUCUGUGGCUCACCUCAAACCCAUUCUCCACACAUACGCAGCAGCUCUCUCCAAAGCGCGUCUGACCAUGUUUCAGUUUGCUCAAGACCCUUUUUAUGCACCAUUCUCUAAGGAGCAAGAUCGUACUCAUUUGCAUGUCCCUGCAGGUGGAACCCCACCCCCUCCAACCUCCCUCCUCCCCCUGCAGUCUGCCUCAGCCGCCCUGGCCACCUCGCUGCCCCUCACACAGGAAGCCCAGCCUAGCGCCCGCUGUUCUUCCUACCUGGAAGUUGCUCUCCUUCCAUCCUUCCUGCAGGCUCUCGGUUCUCAGCCUGCACGUCACUCUCUGGAAGGGUCUCCUAACACCCCUGCAUUCACCCAGCAGGCACUCUACACCCACUGUUACCGUCCUAUCAUAAGAUGUUAGUAUUACCUGUGUACUGGCCCCUAACUUAGGAGAGUGGACACUGUGAGGACAAGUCCACUUUCCCCCCUCAUUUCUACAGCUGUCACAGAGCAGCUGGCCCACCAUAAAUGCUCUAUAAAUACUGCUGAAUUAAUUAAAAAGCUAUUCCUAUGGGAAAUCCAAUACACAAUGGCAUGUCUCUAUCAGUAUAAACACAGGAUGCGCACAUACAUGUAAAUACACCUGACCUACACACGUGUGAACACGUGUGCACAUGUGCAAUAGGCAGGAUGCAUGUGUAAAUACAUACAUGCAUAUGUGUGUGUCUAAUUCAGAAAGUACAGUUAACUGAGAAUAGCUUCCGUUUUAAACAAGUUAAAAGCAUUUCACCCAGGGUUUGAUUUCAGGAAUCACAGAAACGGUGCCAAUUUUCUAAGCACACUGUUGUAACACUGCUACAUGAGAUGGAGCAGGGGAAGGCUUUAAAAAUAGCGGACCGGAUAUCCCUCGUGGUGACUUGGGUUAUGUAAAAGUAUUUUGUGUGAAGCCAAUGCUUCACAAUGGGCCCCUGAGCUUUGAAAAGGCUGUUUGGGGUCCCUUUUCAGUGUUAAAUAUCUGCUUAUAAAUGCAGCCAGACUAACAAUCUGGAGAAAAGGAUACAAUGUCCAAACAGUUAUCACUGUCUAAUUCCAGAUACUUAAGAAAAUUCUGAUGUUAAUACUGAAGGACAUUCAUUUUUGGAAAGCCCUCUAACAGUUGAAGAAGCCAGGAUUCCUCUUAAGAAAUUUGUUAGGUUGGGCUUGCUGUACUUUUCUAUUGGAGCAGAACAAUCAGACAAUAUCUGGAGCUAAUAACUUUUACUUUAAUUUUAAAUAGUAGUCAUGUGAGGACAUUGCUUCUGGAGACCUCAUGAAAACAAAAUAUUAAAAAUUGCGGUUUGAAUGUGUGCUGUGCAUGACAUCCUUGGGCAUGGCUGAUCAGACCACGGUUGGUGGUCGUUUGUCCCGUGGUACACCUUGACUCAAACAUGUAUCGGGGCAAAGAGGAAAUGAUUAGCUGGACUAAUCUGAUUCUCUCUGGAGAUGAGAAGAAUUAGGCGGUCGGUAGUGAGGGUGGAGCUGAGCAGAGAGAAGGCAGAAGGCAGACAGGAGCAGAUAUGCAUGUGCACAAAGCUUGCAGUGGACAGUGAGGAGGCAGAAGCCACGAGCCUGUGCGCACACAGGCUGGGGAGGUGGAGGCUGCUUGUCUGUCUGGGACACGGAUGGUGAGGGCAGAAAACUUUAUGAAUUGCUGUAUUUCCGACUGCUGAAGGGACAGUGAGAUGACUAAGUCAUAUUCCUAAUUAACUUCCCGUAUCCUCAAGACCUGCUUGAGAUCUACAGUCCUGUACCUCUUAUUACUGAGUGAGUACAUUUAUAAACAACUGAACUUCCUCUGCUAUGGGAUCUUUCUUCCCCAGCAUCACAGAAGUCUUAUCCAGAUAUCUGUGCAAGCCAGCACGCAGGCCCAUUUAAUCUGGAUACACUGCUUCCCUGCCACCAUGCUUCCCCUUUGCCAUGCCUACCCAUCAAAGCCCAUUUCUUGCUGGAAAGCAUUGCUGCUGUGACCCUCUCCUCCCACCCAGAGCUGGGUGCUCAUCACCACCUUCACUUCCACUCUUCCCUCCACUUUGUUUGCAGAAGACCCGACUCAGCAUGUCAGUAAGCCAAUAGCUGAGAGUGCUGGGAUCCAGGUGCAUGAGGAAGAUGGAAGAGUUAUUCCGCUGUCCUGGGUGGGGUGCUCAGCGUUUGCAAACACAGCACAUCAAGGCCCGAAGCAAUGUGUCCCACUACCCCUGCAGUGUACCACGUGCGUGAAAAUAUCUGGACACUCUCCAACAAGUGAGACCCAAAUGCUGAAAGUUAACUGGCCCAUGUGGAGAUUUUAUCAGAACAUGGUGUACAGAGAAAUAGUACCAUGCAGUACCCAGCGUGUUUGCCAAGAGCCCAAAGACAAAGCACCUUGACCCACCCAUCCUUUGUUCAAUAAAUAAUCAACUGAACCAUG